GUUAUGAUGUGCUCAUACUGCUGAUUUUUACGUUCCUUUUGCUGCUAGAAAAAAUAGCUAUGGUAAUAUUUUUUUCAUUCAAAACUAUCUAUGCAGCAUGUGUGCCACUCAAGUGCAACAGUUCACGAGGCAUCCCAGGCCCCGAAAGGAGAAGUUGGAAGAAGAUGCAAGAGCAGCAUGCCAAUGUUGUUGAAUAUGCCAGCACGAAGUUUCCAGGCGCAAGUGUUUCUUAUAUAAAAGAAAGCCUAUUCUCUCCCCUCACAAGGGAAAUAAAAUCACUAUAUAAAAAUGC